UACGAAGGCCUCGAGCGUUAUCCGGAUUUACUGGGCGUAAAGGGUGCGUAGGGGGCUGGAUGCGUCUCUCGUAAAAUCUCACCGCUUAACGGUGAUAUCGCGAGGGAUACGAUCCGGCUAGAAGGUGCGAGAGGUUUGCGGAACGCAUGGUGUAGGGGUAAUAUCCGUUGAUAUCAUGCGGAACACCGAAGGCGAAGGCAGCAAACUGGCGCAUUCUUGACCCUGAGGCACGAAAGCGUGGGGAGCAAAAAGG
rnacentral:rRNA from 1 species